AGAAUCAACGCUGGCGGCGUGCCUCAGACAUGCAAGUCGAACGCGAAAGUCCCCUUCGGGGGACUAGUAGAGUGGCGCACGGGUGAGUAACACGUAGGUAAUCUACCUUCGGAUGGGGAAUAACAACCGGAAACGGUUGCUAAUACCGCAUAAUGCAGCGGCACCUAAUGGUGACAGUUGUUAAAGCGGGGGAUCGAAAGACCUCGCGUCUGAAGAGGAGCCUGCGGCGGAUUAGCUAGUUGGUAAGGUAAUGGCUUACCAAGGCUACGAUCC
rnacentral:rRNA from 1 species